rnacentral:rRNA from 1 species
GUGGGGAAUCUUGCGCAAUGGGCGAAAGCCUGACGCAGCCAUGCCGCGUGAAUGAUGAAGGUCUUAGGAUUGUAAAAUUCUUUCACCGGGGACGAUAAUGACGGUACCCGGAGAAGAAGCCCCGGCUAACUUCGUGCCAGCAGCCGCGGUAAUACGAAGGGGGCUAGCGUUGCUCGGAAUUACUGGGCGUAAAGGGCGCGUAGGCGGACAGUUUAGUCAGAGGUGAAAGCCCAGGGCUCAACCUUGGAAUUGCCUUUGAUACUGGCUGUCUUGAGUACGGGAGAGGUGAGUGGAACUCCGAGUGUAGAGGUGAAAUUCGUAGAUAUUCGGAAGAACACCAGUGGCGAAGGCGACUCACUGGCCCGUCACUGACGCUGAGGCGCGAAAGCGUGGGGAGCAAACAGGAUUAGAAACCCUUGUAGUCC